UGGGGGAUAUUGCACAAUGGGCGAAAGCCUGAUGCAGCGACGCCGCGUGGGGGAUGAAGGCUUUCGGGUUGUAAACCUCUUUCGCUAUCGAACAAGGCCCGCUUAGGGUGGGUUGAGGGUAGGUGGAGAAGAAGCGCCGGCUAACUACGUGCCAGCAGCCGCGGUAAUACGUAGGGCGCGAGCGUUGUCCGGAAUUAUUGGGCGUAAGGGCUUGUAGGCUGCUUGUUGCGCCUGCUGUGAAAACGCGGGGCUUAACUUCGCGCGUGCAGUGGGUACGGGCAGGCUUGAGUGUGGUAGGGGUGACUGGAAUUCCAGGUGUAGCGGUGGAAUGCGCAGAUAUCUGGAGGAACACCGAUGGCGAAGGCAGGUCACUGGGCCAUUACUGACGCUGAGGAGCGAAAGCAUGGGUAGCGAACAGG
rnacentral:rRNA from 1 species